CAGCCGCCGCGGUAAUACGAAGGGGGCUAGCGUUGUUCGGAUUUACUGGGCGUAAAGGGCGCGUAGGCGGGCGAAUAAGUCAGGGGUGAAAUCCCAAGGCUCAACCUUGGAACUGCCUUUGAUACUGUUUGUCUUGAGUUCGAGAGAGGUAAGUGGAACUGCGAGUGUAGAGGUGAAGUUCGUAGAUAUUCGCAAGAACACCAGUGGCGAAGGCGGCUUACUGGCUCGAAACUGACGCUGAGGCGCGAAAGCGUGGGGAGCAAACAGGAUUAGAUACCCCAGUAGUCCCUGUCUCUUAUAC
rnacentral:rRNA from 1 species